rnacentral:rRNA from 1 species
CAGCAGCCACGGUAAUACGAAGGGUGCAAGCGUUAAUCGGAAUUACUGGGCGUAAAGCGUGCGUAGGCGGUUUGUUAAGUCUGCUGUGAAAUCCCCGGGCUCAACCUGGGAAUGGCAGUGGAUACUGGCAAGCUAGAGUGUGUCAGAGGAUGGUGGAAUUCCCGGUGUAGCGGUGAAAUGCGUAGAGAUCGGGAGGAACAUCAGUGGCGAAGGCGGCCAUCUGGGACAACACUGACGCUGAGGAGCGAAAGCGUGGGGAGCGAACAGGAUUAGAUACCCCAGUAGUCCCUGUCUCUUAUAC